rnacentral:rRNA from 1 species
GACGAACGCUGGCGGCGUGCCUAAUACAUGCAAGUUGAGCGAUGAAGAUUGGUGCUUGCACCAAUUUGAAGAGCAGCGAACGGGUGAGUAACGCGUGGGGAAUCUGCCUUUGAGCGGGGGACAACAUUUGGAAACGAAUGCUAAUACCGCAUAACAACUUUAAACAUAAGUUUUAAGUUUGAAAGAUGCAAUUGCAUCACUCAAAGAUGAUCCCGCGUUGUAUUAGCUAGUUGGUGAGGUAAAGGCUCACCAAGGCGAUGAUACAUAGCCGACCUGAGAGGGUGAUCGGCCGCACUGGGCCUGGGAGAUGGCCCAAACUCCUACGGGAGGCAGCAGUAGGGAAUCUUCGGGAAUGGACGAAAGGCGGAACGAGCAACGACGCGUGAGUGAAGAAGGUUUUCAGAUCGUGAGAAUCUGUUAGUAGAGAAGAACGUUAGGGAGUGUGGAAAGCUCAUAAAGUGACGGUAACUACCCAGAAAGGGACGGCUAACUACGUG